CGAGCUGGGUUUAGAACGUCGUGAGACAGUUCGGUCCCUAUCUGCCGUGGGCGUUGGAAGAUUGAAGGGGGCUGCUCCUAGUACGAGAGGACCGGAGUGGACGAACCUCUGGUGUUCGGGUUGUGUCGCCAGACGCAUUGCCCGGUAGCUAAGUUCGGAAUCGAUAACCGCUGAAAGCAUCUAAGCGGGAAGCGAGCCCUGAGAUGAGUCUUCCCUGAUACUUUAAGUAUCCUAAAGGGUUGUCGGAGACUACGACGUUGAUAGGUCAGGUGUGUAAGUGCUGUGAGGCAUUGAGCUAACUGAUACUAAUUGCCCGUGAGGCUUAACCAUACAACACCCAAGGGGUUU
rnacentral:rRNA from 1 species